CUGGGCCUGCUCUACUGUUGUCAGUGAGAAACCAACUGGUAAAUGGGUGUCAGCUGUGACCCUCGAAGGAAAGGGAUCACCCUCUUUCUGACCCUAUACCACCUUCAGCAGGGAUGAAGGCAGUCAGAGAAAACUUAGUUAAAAAAUUUCUAAACUGCUUUGCUGAUUUGAUCUGGGGCCCUGGAGUGCCAACAUCCUGUGAUAGCGGCUGAUUGUUGAUGCCUGGGAGGAUACAGCAGUGACGAUCCAAAUUUACAAGACUCAACAUGGUUUUCAAAACUUCCUUUUAAAAAAGAUGUUCCUGAGUUCUGGAAUCUGAACAAAAUAUGUCUGGUUAUUAUAUAAUUCUAAUGGUCCUUGUGGAUGCUACCAUUAGAGUUCAGUUAGUGUCUCAUCUAUCACUGUAAUAUUUGUAUUGUAACACUAAUCGUGGCAAAGUAUGAUUUGAUAAAUGCUCAUUCUCAAAUCUUUUA
rnacentral:lncRNA from 10 species